UACGUAGGGGGCAAGCGUUGUCCGGAAUCAUUGGGCGUAAAGCGCGUGUAGGCGGCCUUGUAAGUCCGUUCUGAAAGCCUGGGGCUCAACCCCAGGAGGCGGAUGGAUACUGCAAGGCUCGAGUCCGGAAGAGGCAAGUGGAAUUCCCGGUGUAGCGGUGAAAUGCGCAGAUAUCGGGAGGAACACCAAUGGCGAAGGCAGCUUGCUGGGACGGUACUGACGCUGAGACGCGAAAGCGUGGGGAGCAAACAGG
rnacentral:rRNA from 1 species